rnacentral:rRNA from 1 species
GAUGAACGCUGGCGGCGUGCCUAAUACAUGCCAGUCGAGCGAACAGACGAGGAUCUUGCUCCUCUGACGUUAGCGGCGGACGGGUGAGUAACACGUGGAUAACCUACCUAUAAGACUGGGAUAACUUCGGGAAACCGGAGCUCAUACCGGAUCAUAUAUUGAACCGCAUGGUUCAAUAGUGAAAGACGGUUUUGCUGUCACUUAUAGAUGGAUCCGCGCCGCAUUAGCUAGUUGGUAAGGUAACGGCUUACCAAGGCAACGAUGCGUAGCCGACCUGAGAGGGUGAUCGGCCACACUGGAACUGAGACACGGUCCAGACUCCUACGGGAGGCAGCAGUAGGGAAUCUUCCGCAAUGGGCGAAAGCCUGACGGAGCAACGCCGCGUGAGUGAUGAAGGUCUUCGGAUCGUAAAACUCUGUUAGUAGGGAAGAACAAAUGUGUAAGUAACUAUGCACGUCUUGACGGUACCUAAUCAGAAAGCCACGGCUAACUACGUG